CUUUUCCCAAAGUUUCUUAACAUCUUCAUCUGAAGAUCUUAAGUGGGUACUGAAAUGUUGCAUGUUAUAUUCAGAAGACCCCACUAAAAUGGUAAUUAUAACAGUGCAAUAAAUCUUCCUAUAACUAAUGAAGUCUAAUUAACCUGUAUUACUGAAUACAUGUUGCACUAGAUUUCAGUUGAGGUGGCCAUCAGGCUAAUUUGUAACUUUUCUUGACAGACAACUUUCACACAUCUUAUAA